rnacentral:RNase_P_RNA from 2 species
GGAGUUGGCCGCACGAUCGCUGCUUGAAUUUGUUCAAGGAGAGGAAAGUCCGGGCUCCAUAGGGCAGGGUGCCAGAUAACGUCUGGGGGGCGUGAGCCCACGGCCAGUGCAGCAGAGAGUAUACCGCCGAUGGCUAUUUAGGUAGCACAGGUAAGGGUGAAAGGGUGCGGUAAGAGCGCACCGCGCGUCCGGUAACGGUACGCGGCAUGGUAAACCCCACUCGGAGCAAGACCAAAUAGGUUCCCUGAGGUGCGGCCCGCACUGGGAACGGGUAGGUUGCUUGAGCUUUGGAGCGAUCCAAAGCCUAGAUGAAUGAUCGUGACCUUGUUCGCAAGGGACAGAACCCGGCUUAUGGCCAACUCCACUU